CGAUGAACGGUUCAGAUUCACUUCUUAUUUAAACGUGAUCGGACGGUUCAGAUCAAAUCGCGAUGAACAGUUUAGAUUCACUUUCUAUUUAAAUGCAAUCUGACAGUGCAGAUCAAACACGAUGAACGACCCAGAUUAAAAAAAGACGGAUAUAAAUACCAUACUUUACACCAAACCCUAACCCUAGCUACCAGACCCCUUCGCCAGAGAAGAAGAACCAAUCGUCGGGAAGGGAGCCGACCACCGACUGCCAAAAGAGGUAAAAAAUUUUCUAUUUAUUCGAAAUUCGAUUUGGAACACCCCUAUGACCAAAUCAGAGCAAAAGGACCAACAGAUGAGCUAAAAACUACGGGUAAAGCCCGACGGCGGCGGCACCGCGAGAAAAAACAAAAAACACCUUCGUGAGGCCUUCUCGAUUCCCGUUAUGUGCAAUUUUUCACAAUUGUAAUCAUCAUUCUUUUUUUUACAGGUUGACUGAAGUGAAACACCCAACCGCAAAGGUGAGCUGGCGGAGCCACCGCACCAGAAACUCCGUUGUCAGUAAGCCUAUAUUUUUUUACUUUAUUCGGCCAACUGAUAUCUCUUAACAUGUUUUCUCGCAAUGAGGAGUACAAAAUGGGCCAAAAUUGGCUGAAACUGGCAAAAAACGGCUAGACUGAGGCAAAUUGCCGCCAUGCUGGAAUCUCAAAAUUGGCCG
rnacentral:lncRNA from 1 species